UGAGGAAUCUUGCGCAAUGGAGGCAACUCUGACGCAGCCACGCCGCGUGCCGGAAGACGGCCCUAUGGGUUGUAAACGGCUUUUAGCAGGGAAGAACCGCCCGGUUUCGACCGGGCCUGACGGUACCUGGUGAAUAAGCACCGGCUAACUCCGUGCCAGCAGCCGCGGUAAUACGGAGGGUGCAAGCGUUGUCCGGAAUCAUUGGGUGUAAAGGGUGCGUAGGCGUCCCGGCAAGUUUUCGGUGAAAUCCUUCCGCUUAACGGGAGAAGGGCCGGAAAAACUGCCGGGAUUGAGUCCGGAAGAGGUUGGUGGAAUUCGUGGUGUAGCGGUGAAAUGCAUAGAUAUCACGAAGAACACCGGUGGCGAAGGCGGCCAGCUGGUCCGGUACUGACGCUGAGGCACGAGAGCGUGGGGAGCGAACAGGAUUAGAUACCCCCGUAGUCC
rnacentral:rRNA from 1 species